GUAAUACAAGGCAGACGGCUCAGUAACGCGUAGUCAACCUACCCUAUGGACGGGGAUAACCUCGGGAAACUGAGAAUAAUACCAGAUAGAACAUUAUACCUGGAAUGGUUUAUGUUUCAAAUAAUUUAUUGCCGUAGGAUGGGACUGCGGCCUAUCAGUUUGUUGGUGAGGUAAUGGCCCACCAAGACUAUUACAGGUACGGGCUCUGAGAGGAGUAGCCCGGAGAUGGGUACUGAGACACGGACCCAGGCCCUAUGGGGCGCAGCAGGCGAGAAAACUUUGCAAUGUGCGAAAGCACGACAAGGUUAAUCCGAGUGGUUUCUGCUAAAGGAACCUUUUGUCAGUCCUAGAAACACUGUUGAAUAAGGGGUGGGCAAGUUCUGGUGUCAGCCGCCGCGGUAAAACCAGCGCCUCAAGUGGUCAGGAUGAUUAUUGGGCCUAAAGCAUCCGUAGCCUGCUUUGUCAGUUUUCGGUUAAAUCCAUACGCUCAACGUAUGGGCUGCCGG
rnacentral:rRNA from 1 species